rnacentral:rRNA from 1 species
UACGGGGGGGGCAAGCGUUGUUCGGAAUUACUGGGCGUAAAGGGCUCGUAGGCGGCCAACUAAGUCAGACGUGAAAUCCCCAGGCUCAACCUGGGAACUGCGUCUGAUACUAGAUGGCUUGAAUUCGGGAGAGGGAUGCAGAAUUCCAGGUGUAGCGGUGAAAUGCGUAGAUAUCUGGAGGAAUACCGGUGGCGAAGGCGGCAUCCUGGACCGACAUUGACGCUGAUGAGCGAAAGCCAGGGGAGCAAACGGG